rnacentral:rRNA from 1 species
ACACGGCGGACGGGUGAGUAAUGCCUAGAAAUUGCCCUGAUGUGGGGGAUAACCAUUGGAAACGAUGGCUAAUACCGCAUGAUGCCUACGGGCCAAAGAGGGGGACCUUCGGGCCUCUCGCGUCAGGAUAUGCCUAGGUGGGAUUAGCUAGUUGGUGAGGUAAUGGCUCACCAAGGGCGACGAUCCCUAGCUGGUCUGAGAGGAUGAUCAGCCACACUGGAACUGAGACACGGUCCAGACUCCUACGGGAGGCAGCAGUGGGGAAUAUUGCACAAUGGGCGCAAGCCUGAUGCAGCCAUGCCGCGUGUAUGAAGAAGGCCUUCGGGUUGUAAAGUACUUUCAGUCGUGAGGAAGGUGGUGUUGUUAAUAGCAGCAUCAUUUGACGUUCGCGACAGAAGAAGCACCGGCUAACUCCGUGCCAGCAGCCGCGGCUAAUCACGGAGGGUGCGAGGCUGUAUAAUCGGAAUUACUGGGCGUACAAAGCGCAUGCAGGUGGUGGAUC